GGGAUGCCCUUUUUUGCCUGGACUCUUUUAUUCUUUUUGUCCAGCGGGUCUCUUUUACGAAGUAUCUUUUAACUGCGUCCGCAUCUGCAGGGGAUGGAAAAUCCUCGCCACUCAUGGUCAUUUUUUGCCUGGACUCUUUUAUUCUUUUUGUCCAGCGGGUCUCUUUUACGAAGUAUCUUUUAACUGCGUCCGCAUCUGCAGGGGAUGGAAAAUCCUCGCCACUCAUGGUCGUCAGCAACAAGGCUCUAUCGGAGAAAAC
rnacentral:lncRNA from 1 species